rnacentral:rRNA from 1 species
AUACGGAGGGUGCAAGCGUUACGCGGAAUCACUGGGCGUAAAGCGCGCGCAGGCGGCCCGAUAAGUUGGAUGUGAAAGCCUACGGCUCAACCGUAGAACUGCAUCCAAGGCUGUCGGGCUAGAGUCUGAGAGGGGAAGAUGGAAUUAGUUGUGUAGGGGUAAAAUCCGUAGAGAUAACUAGGAAUACCAAAAGCGAAGGCGAUCUUCUGGAACAGUACUGACGCUGAGGUGCGAAAGCGUGGGGAGCAAACAGAAUUAGAUACCCUAGUAGUCC